rnacentral:rRNA from 1 species
UGCCAGCCGCCGCGGUAAUACGGAGGGGACUAGCGUUGUUCGGAAUUACUGGGCGUAAAGCGCACGUAGGCGGAUUGAUCAGUCAGGGGUGAAAUCCCGGGGCUCAACCCCGGAACUGCCUUUGAUACUGUCAAUCUAGAGAUCGAGAGAGGUGAGUGGAAUUCCGAGUGUAGAGGUGAAAUUCGUAGAUAUUCGGAGGAACACCAGUGGCGAAGGCGGCUCACUGGCUCGAUACUGACGCUGAGGUGCGAAAGCGUGGGGAGCAAACAGGAUUAGAUA